rnacentral:tRNA from 1 species
AUUUAUAUAGUAUAUUUAGUAUAUUUAACUUCCAAUUAAAUGGUUUAAUAAAAUUAAUAUAAAUA